rnacentral:tRNA from 1 species
GGGGAAUAUCCCAUAAAUCAGUUGCUUGGUAAAGUCAUGGAAGCAGGAUAAAACCCAGAUAAUCCCUAUUCAACUACGUUGACAUCGUAGGGGUCACAGGUUCAAUCCCUGUCGCGCCCACCA